AUUGAACGCUGGCGGCAGGCCUAACACAUGCAAGUCGAACGAGUGGCGGAAGGGUGAGUAAUGUCUGGGAAACUGCCUGAUGGAGGGGGAUAACUACUGGAAACGGUAGCUAAUAACGCAUACAAUCAGAUGUGCCCAGAUGGGAUUAGCUUGUUGGUGGGGUAACGGAUCACCAAGGCGACGAUCCCUAGCUGGGCUGGGAGGAUGACAAGCCACACUGGAACUGAGACACGGUCCAGACUCGUACGUGAGGCAGCAGUGGGGAAUUUUGCACAAGGGGCGAAAGCCUGAUGCAGCCAUGCCGCGUGUAUGAAGAAGGCCUUCGGGUUGUAAAGUACUUUCAGCGGGGAGGCGUUACCCGAAGAAGAAGCCCCGGCUAACUCCGUGCCAGCAGCCGCGGUAAUAC
rnacentral:rRNA from 1 species